AUGCCUACGGGAGGCAGCAGUGAGGAAUAUUGGUCAAUGGGCGAGAGCCUGAACCAGCCAAGUCGCGUGAGGGAAGACGGCCCUACGGGUUGUAAACCUCUUUUGUCAGGGAGCAAGAACGGAUACGUGUAUCCGAGCGAGAGUACCUGAAGAAAAAGCAUCGGCUAAAUCCGUGCCAGCAGACGCGGUAAUACGGAGGAUGCGAGCGUUAUCCGGAUUUAUUGGGUUUAAAGGGUGCGUAGGCGGGCUGCAAAGUAAGCGGUAAAAUUGCGGGGCUCAACACCGUCGAGCCGUUGAAACUGGUG
rnacentral:rRNA from 1 species